rnacentral:rRNA from 1 species
CGAAUGCUGACAUAAGUAACGAUAAAGCGGGUGAAAAGCCCGCUCGCCGGAAGACCAAGGGUUCCUGUCCAACGUUAAUCGGGGCAGGGUGAGUCGACCCCUAAGGCGAGGCCGAAAGGCGUAGUCGAUGGGAAACAGGUUAAUAUUCCUGUACUUGGUGUUACUGCGAAGGGGGGACGGAGAAGGCUAUGUUGGCCGGGCGACGGUUGUCCCGGUUUAAGCGUGUAGGCUGGUUUUCCAGGCAAAUCCGGAAAAUCAAGGCUGAGGCGUGAUGACGAGGCACUACGGUGCUGAAGCAACAAAUGCCCUGCUUCCAGGAAAAGCCUCUAAGCAUCAGGUAACAUCAAAUCGUACCCCAAACCGACACAGGUGGUCAGGUAGAGAAUACCAAGGCGCUUGAGAGAACUCGGGUGAAGGAACUAGGCAAAAUGGUGCCGUAACUUCGGGAGAAGGCACGCUGAUAUGUAGGUGAAGCGACUUGCUCGUGGAGCUGAAAUCAGUCGAAGAUACCAGCUGGCUGCAACUGUUUAUUAAAAACACAGCACUGUGCAAACACGAAAGUGGACGUAUACGGUGUGACGCCUGCCCGGUGCCGGAAGGUUAAUUGAUGGGGUCAGCGCAAGCGAAGCUCUUGAUC